CUUGAGCGAGCCCAGCCACAGCGGACGCUCCGGAUCACGGUCCUGACCGUAUGUGGCGAGCAGCGCCUGCGCCUC
rfam:Streptomyces sp. MnatMP-M17 genome assembly, contig: Ga0115259_10396